rnacentral:rRNA from 1 species
GACGAACGCUGGCGGCGUGCUUAACACAUGCAAGUCGAACGGAAAGGCCCCUUUGGGGGUACUCGAGUGGCGAACGGGUGAGUAACACGUGCGUAACCUGCCCUUGACUUCGGGAUAACUUCAGGAAACUGGGGCUAAUACCGGAUAGGAAUCCUUGCUGCAUGGUGGGGGUUGGAUAGCUUCGGCGGUUUUGGAUGGACUCGCGGCUUAUCAGCUUGUUGGUGGGGUAGUGGCUUACCAAGGCUUUGACGGGUAGCCGGCCUGAGAGGGCGACCGGCCACAUUGGGACUGAGAUACGGCCCAGACUCCUACGGGAGGCAGCAGUGGGGAAUAUUGCACAAUGGGCGGAAGCCUGAUGCAGCAACGCCGCGUGCGGGAUGACGGCCUUCGGGUUGUAAACCGCUUUCAGCAGGGGCGAAGCUUGUGGUGACGGUACCUGCAGAAGAAGCACCGGCUAACUACGUG